rnacentral:rRNA from 1 species
CCUACGGGUGACAGCAGUGGGGGAUAUUGGACAAUGGGGGGAACCCUGAUCCAGCGACGCCGCGUGAGUGACGAAGUAUCUCGGUAUGUUAAGCUCUAUCAGCAGGGAAGAAGAAAUGACGGUUACUGCGUAAGAAGCCCCGGCUAACUACGUGCCCGCAGCCGCGGUAAUACGUAGGGGGCAAGCGUUAUCCGGAAUUACUGGGUGUAAAGGGAGGGUAGACGGUGAUGUAAGUCUGGAGUGAAAGGCGGGGGCCCAACCCCCGGGCUGCUCUGGAAACUAGGUGACUGGAGUGGAGGAGAGGUGAGCGGAAUUCCUAGGGUAGCGGUGAAAUGCGUAGAUAUUAGGAGGAACACCAGUGGCGAAGGCGGCGCACGGGACUGUAACUGACGUUGAGGCUCGAAAGCGUGGGGAGCAAACAGGAUUAGAUACCCCUGUAGUC